rnacentral:tRNA from 1 species
GCGGAUGUAGUUUAGUGGUAAAACUCGACCUUCCCAAGGUCGCGUCGCGAGUUCGAUUCUCGUCAUCCGCU